CGAGUUUGAUCCUGGCUCAGGACGAACGCUGGCGGCGUGCCUAACACAUGCAAGUCGAGAGGAGACAGUGAGUAGCUUGCUAUGAGCUGUUUUAGCGGCGGACGGGUGAGUAACGCGUGAGCAACCUUUCCCAGACAGGGGAAUAACACACCGAAAGGUGUACUAAUACCGCAUAAGACCACGGGAUCACAUGGUUCUGGGGUAAAAGAUUUAUCGGUUUGGGGUGGGCUCGCGUCCGAUUAGGUAGUUGGUGAGGUAACGGCCC
rnacentral:rRNA from 1 species